UAAAUCCGUGACUUAGUACAUUUGUAGCACUGGAUGAUUCUCUUCAACCUGUGUGAGAAGGUGCUGUUGUACCUGACGGUUUUCUUGCAGUAGGGAAUAUUAUGGAGCAAGAGACUGCUAAGUGAGACAAACCACAGUGUGGAGGCCAUUUACCACACAAGGAAAGAGCCUGGUUGCUCUAACAGGGCCUGGAGGAAACCAGGACUGCAUCUGGGGUGUGGUAAGGUGAUAAAUCUGAGCAUCCCUCCCACCCUUAAGGUUCCAGACCAACUCAUCAAAGCCAAAAGAGAAAAAGAAAUGGAUGGAGCAGCAGGUGAGGCAAUCUGCCUCCUUUCAGCCAAGAUCAUGAGAACGCUACUAGAUGCUACCAAGACCAGCAGUAAACCUGAGGCAGAGGCCACAGCAUCAUCACUACCAGACACACCUCGCCUGGGUCACCAGUGUUGA
rnacentral:lncRNA from 1 species